AAGACAUUUAGUGACGUACAGGACAGUAAAACACACACGCUAUCAAUGACAUGCAGCUUUUCUCAUAGACGGGGGAGGUUACUAUGUGAAGGAAUGUGUUAGGAUUGGAAGUUUUCUCUUUAUGUUUCUUUUGAGAUGGUAUGGCCUCUGAAGACCCCCAAGACCAACUGGAUGAGGCUAUUAAAAAGGCAGAACGCCUUGCCGAGGAGCUCAACCAAGAAAAGGACCCACAAGCCCAACUGGACGAGGCCAUUAACGAGGCAAAAAGACUGGCUGAGGAGCUCAACCCAGAACGGGAAAAUAAGAAGAAAAAGACAAACAAGCCUCCAGGGAUUAGGUUCAGAUGGAGACAAAGGGAUGAGAGAGGACAGAUUGAUCCUCAAACCAGGAAGGCAACUACAUCCACUUCUGUUGCUCCAAGGGCCAGUACAUCAAGAGCCAGACUAGUGCAACCUUCUGGACCAGUCACUGAGGAGGAAGAAUCAGAGACAAGGACCAGUGGAUUGGAAUCCACUCCAGUUUUAAACAUUGAUGAAGAAAUAGCAAUACUUUAUAGAGAAAUGAACAUCCUCCUAGCUGACUUAGAAGACCCUGAGUGUUCAAAUCCUACUGUGCCUGGUGCAUCAUCACACAGUUGGAGUGUGAGGAAGGAACUCUCACAGGAGGGAGUCCAGGCCUGAGAUUGUAGAUUCUCUGCUGGCUGCAGAGCAUGUUUCUCAGAAGAUCUGUCAGUCAUGCAAUGUGAAAAGGGCUAUUCUGUGAUGUAGAGACUCUGCCGAAACAGCUUCACUACGAAGACAGCGAUGUCUCUACACCUGCAAAGUUCCCCCUGCACAACAGAGAGUCCAUGAUCGAGGGGUUCUACAUGCCCUUCCUCCAACUACAGCCAUAUCUCUCUCCACAGUGAUGGCAAAUAUACACUUCAUGAACAGGGUGUGCUUUAAUUUUUUUUGCGGCUGAAUGUAUUAUAUCAAAGUUCAAAUGUAUUCUUGUUUAUUGAUGUAUAUAAAGAUUGUUUCUUACCAUUGGAUGUACCAGAGGUGAUAUGUGGUUGCCUGACAAGCACCAUCCAUGUUGGCCCUGGGAAACAUAUAAUACUCGUAGGAAUAAAUGGUCACUACAAUGUCACAGUGCCUGUGCUUACCUGCACAACUUGUCUUAGCACCUGGACAGCAAACUUGGCAGAUCUGAUAAAGAAUGGGUACUGGCCUGCCACUGUCAACUGUGACACCAUAUACCAGGUAGAUGUGUUCAGCUCUUUUGAGGAGCUGGAAGUGUCAGCCCCAGGAAUGUCCCGUCUGGCGUUUAUGUGGAUUUUGGAGCAGCGAACAGACUCCUUUGGCAGGCAGAACGGAAUGAUCUGUGGGGACACUUUUCAAAAAAGCUUCGAGUGGACGUACUGCCGCUCUGAAAUUGAUUAGGUCUGUGAUAUACAGGACUUUGACUGCCCAGCCUGUUCACCCAGCAUGCUUGCAGUGUCAGUGGACGGGAACAAGAAGCUGUAUCGAUUCAAAAAAGGGUUAUGGAAAAGGAGUAUGUGGAGCAUCCCAGUGGACAGCAGCUAAAGAGUUCAAGGAAAACAAACGACAAACUUGAUGAAGAGGGACUCGAAGUAGCCGUCUCUCGCCAUGGAAUACUUCUAAGGAGCCUCAACAUGAUGCGUGGAGAGAUAUUUGCAUAUCCACUGUUCUUGCAGAAGGAAUUGUCUGGCAGCAGGAACAUACAAUUCAUGUGUAUGUGAUCUGCAAAUUUUGGCCAUACCUGACCAAAGUUGCCCUUCAUUGUCCAGAGCUCGCCACUCUUCUAGACAUGAAGCCACUUUCUGUCAUGCAUACAAAGGCACAUCGUUUGAAAUGCGAGAUUAAGUGGGGAGGACGGAAUCAGGAAGGAGCUGGCACAACUCUGGGGGAGGAAGAGGAACAAGGGAACAGCUUCUUGUCGAGGGCUGCAAUCUGUUCCAAGCAAAUGUCCAAAGGAGGUAAACAUUUUGUUUAAGGUUGUUCUAUUCAGCUAUGUUAAUACUUAUCUGGAAUAAGGAGUUCUAUUUGGCAUUUCUAGCAAGAACAGACAUGCUAACCAUCCAGGCCAUGGGGUGGAACAGAAGGAAAAACAACCUGCACAGAGUAUUGUCCAGAAGAUACUUGAAGGUGUAUUGUGUGGAUCAAUACAUUUAUUUUAGAAGUAUUAUAUCUAUGGAUUUAAUUUAUUUAAAAACAAUUAGUUAUUCUGUUUAGUUUUUGUCAUAAUUCUCAGACAACAGCAAAAAUCCAGGAGACCCAGACUCUCAAAGUUUAAGAGUGAUUUGGGUGUUAGGCGAUGAGACUCUGUACAACAGAAGUUCAGCAAUGAGAUAAUACAGGUAAAUUAAUACAAAAUAUAAAUAAUCCUAAAUGUAACUCUCCUGGACUGUCACCUUGACGUAGUGGAGAGGCUUGUGUACUCCAAUGACUCUGAGAGCUAACCCUCAGAGGGUGUAUUCCACCGACACGUGCAAUCAAGCCGGACGGGUAGGAGGCAGACUAAACAUUCCCUGGUUAUCCAGGUUGGGGCUCAUUCACCGCCCACAUAGUCAUUUGUUACAGAAACCUUCACAGGCCCUAUGUUCCUCCAGGAAGUGAGUGCAUCUUUUCAGCGUUGGAGAUACGUUGUUAAUUUAUAGAUGUACUGUAUUUCAGAGGAUACAAAUGAGAACAUGGGACGGUCCCCAGGUACUACAGAGAACAAUUUAAGUCCUGUUUCUUAGCAUCAAACAAAGGAAACAGAACCUCUAUUUCCUGAAUAUUGAAUUGCACGCACUUCAUUUCUCGUUAAUUUCAAAGCCAUGCAAUGUAGCAAAUAAUUCCAUUCUCCUUUUGUUUUGAUGAGAUGGAUGUUUUGUUAUCCGUGUUUGUUCAGUUGCGUAAACACAGACAGCACUUAUGAAUUUACAGCUGACCUACUCACAAAGAAAAUAGCCUUUGACCGGGUGAUGCUCCUGAGACGGCUGAAGGAGGAAGAGUUAAUUGUCCUAAAGGAAGUCUAGUAGCACUGGGAAAGCCUAAAGAGGGAAUCUGAGAAUGUGCAAGACCUUGCUUCACAUGUGGCACUUGACCUAAGCAGGCAAAGUAGGGGAACGUUCAUUAAUAUGUACAAUUGAUGUUGGCACCUUGUAAAUGCUAUUGUACUUAAGGAAUACGUCAUUGUAUUUACCCUACACAUUACGAUUGUUGGUGUUAGGCUGGCAAUUGAAUCAGUCGGAAGCUGGGAGCAGAGGUCUCUUCUCCAUGCUUCAGAGGAGAGUCAGCAGCCUCAGAAGACACCAGGACUUUGUCAAACUGAUAUACAGCAAAGCUAUGGGCCAAGACACCUCCCUCCUAGAAAAUAACUUCAUAGAUGACCUCCUGGAAGAGGACCUAGAUGACAUCUAUGACAGCAUCCACUAUCACAGACUGAAGGUGUUCGUUUGGGUGGGUGCAGUUUUGUACGGGGUAAAAAGUGACUUUGUUUUGCAUAUGUGCUUUAUCUGCCUUCCUAAGGAAAAAAAAGGUUGAACAUUUUAUGGAAAAUAAACUUUUAUGUUUAUUCCUUGUUGACAAUGUGAUCAUGUGGCAGAUUUGAGAAGGGCGCUCGUCUGUUACUGCUUUUGCCCGGUUACAUGACCAGGUCCGAUGCACCCCUUUAAAAUGGCCAAUCUGCAGUUGCUACAUCCACUUUUGGAUUCUUUAAGAAUAUAAAUGUAUAAAUGCCUUAUGAAUAUAGUUCACCUGCCGUACCCCGUCAGAUCCCAAAAUAUUUUUUUUUCUACUCGAAUGUUUGACUUUGUUUACAAUGUAAACAUACGAGCGUGUGUCAAAACUCAUUCCACGGGUGAGCAGAGUGUCUGCGCUCCUCCCAUAAUUGAUUAAUUAAGGUCACUAAUUAGUAAGAAACUCCCCUCACCUGGUUGGUUAGGUCUUAAUUGAAAGGGAAAAACAAAAACCAGCAGACACUAGGCUCUCCAUGGAAUGAGAUUGACACCACUGGACUAUAGCCGCGAAACAUGGUUUAAACUAUGGUUACAUUUCUCCAUCCCCAUCCCUCUGCUUUUUACAGAACCACUGGUGGGGAGAACGAUUUAUUGUUUCACCUGGUGAUUUCCGAUUUAAACAUUGUUAAACUGUAAUGUACUGUGCUUGUUAGUUUGUAUUAGUUUAGUUUUAAAAAAUGAAAAGGUUAUCCUUGUCUUCAAGUAAUCGUUUGCAUCCUGAUGGAGCUACAUUAGUCAUGGGCUUUUAAGUCAACGAUUCCUUAUGUAUGUAUGUAUGUAUGUAUGUAUGUAUGUAUGAGGAAAUGUACAAAUGCUUAACUAGUACUGAGUACUUUGACCAGUUACUUAUUUACUCUCAAGGAGCUUUACUUGUACUUGAGUACAAGAACUGACUCCCAUCAGCUGCAGAUGAAACCGGUUAGUUGAAAAAUGUUGCCUAGAAUCUACGGGCACUCGCAAUGAAUCAUCAAAAGUAUGGACACAGAAUGAUUGAAGUGAUCCAUAUAUAAUAUCUGUGUGGAGAAAAAUUGUUUUUAUAAAUUAAGGACCAUGACAAGAAAACCUGCCGAUGAAAAGCAGAAAGUUUCACUGGAACUUUGUCAAUAUUAUAAUUGCAAAACAACAUGAAGUUAAGGCCACCAAAAGUAGAGACAUGAUGAGGAAUAAAAUUCCAGAUAUAAGUGGGUCUUAGAAAUUGUUUUAUCCAAUUGAUCUUAAAAGUAUUAUUUGAAGUAGUCAUAUCCAGAAAAUUCAGUCCACCAUUCUCAUAAGUGUUCAUUCCAACAGUUUUCCUAAUGUAAUGGGUACGGUUUCUCCAAAGAAAGUUGAAAAGCAUCUGGUCUAUCUCCUUGCUUAUUUUACUGUCAAGAUAUAGAGCGCCAUAUGUUAGUCUAGAGAUUCCUAAUAACCAAGGCCGAAGGUAUCUCCCUUUUAAAAAUAAGUCCCUCUGUAGCCAUUGAUUUAGCUUCUUCUGGGGUCUUCUUUUACUGGAAUACCAUAAUAUGAAGGUUACACACAAUCUUUGACAGCUAUGAGUUCACAUUAAUGUUAAGAUAUAGACCAGACGCUUUAGAAAAGGAUUGUAUCACAUUGAUCGAUAUGGGAAUUUGGUUAGCGUCUUUCAGAUAGUGUAGAAUCUGCCAGCUGGCUUAUAAUAAUUUCUUUACCAGCUAUGGAAAUACCUUGUACAGGACUAUUAUUUAAAGAAUUUGCAAGAAGUUGGGUGAUUAAUAAAACAGGUACGGAGAGAGGACAACCUUGCCUAAUUCCUCUCUUUAACUCAAUUCUAGGCGAGGCGCCAUAUUUCAAUUUGAUAGAGCUGUUACCAUUUGCAUAGAGUGUCUUAAUAGCCUUACAGAAAAAAAUCCCUAAAGCCAAGUCUCUCAAGGGAGUGGAAGAGAAACUGAUGCUCUACUGUGUCAAAUGCUUUAUAAAAAUCUAAAAAAUAAUAUGAAGCUAUCCUCAGUUAUUAGGUCUGAGUAGUCAAGUAUGUCAAAUACUAGUCUGACAUUGUUAGAAAUAUGUCUGUUCCUCAUGAAGCCAGACUGUGUUUCAUCAAUGAUUGCAUCCAAACUGUAGUAGGAUGAGUCAAAGAUGUAGGAGCAGUGAACGUAAACGAUAAGGAACCGAGAUCUGCACCAUUAAGUCAAUUUAAAGUGAAAAUAGCUUAUUCCAUAACCUUUGAGCUAGACAUUAUCCGGCUUUGAAAUUCAACUGAAAAUUAUGUUCAAGACCAAACCAAGGGUUAUUGUAGUAAGAGAGACUAAAAACCCUCUUUAGUGUAAUCAGGAACUAUUCUGAGAAAUAAAACAAAUAAUUUAAAUAAAAGGGUACCUACUAUUUUAAGUGCAUAUGAAACUGAUCAUAAAAUAAUUGAAUAAAAAAUGUUUUACAUAAACGUUCCCAAGACCUUUUUUGGAAUUAAGUAUUAACUAAAUAGAACAAUAACCAUGUAAAGUCAUAGCAGACCUGUAUGCCCUUUAAAACAGUAUCUUAGUUACUGUAUACAUAAAAAAAUAAAUACAGCUUUCAAUCUUCUUCGUAAGUUUGUAAACAAAAUAGGUCUUCUGGUCAUACAAGAACAAACUAAUAAAUUGAAAUACCUGAGUAUUCCUGAAAAAUAGUCACCAGAUGCUUGUUAGGUAAACAACAUAAGGAAAAUGAGAAUGCCAUGGCUGAAACCAUCAACCUGUUCCUUCUAGUGAGAUUUUAGGGAGGAAUAUGGAUUUCUGAACCGUUGAUGAAACCUCGUCCUCCGACGAAGUAAGCAGCUUUUCCGUCAUUUCGUGCUAUCUUGACCGUUGGCCACAACUUGUUCCUUCUUUCUAUGUCCUCCGGGCUGAGAUGCUCGGCGAAACGCAUACCAUGGCUCUGAAGGAAGGCGUUCAUCCUAGCAGCUUGCAUCCCUGUAGAAUCUGGCAGUGAAGAGCACGAUGAAACCCCUAGAUCUUGAAUAAUUUUGCUGUUGUUUCUUGCCGAGGCGAUGCACAACGUUGAUGGUAUCACCAACUUUGUUCUUCUCUGCAGGCAAAACUUCUUGGCAGAUGCGGAUAGCCUCUCCUCGCACAUCUUCAUUCUCCACCUCUGGCAAACCGUAGAGUCUCAGGUUCCAUUUUCUUGUGUAUUGUUCCAGAUCAGUGAGACGUCUAUGGUAGACAUUGUUAUUCUUUUCCACCCUUUUUUCAACUUUUGCCACUCUCGUUUUCACAUCCUUGAUUUCACCACAUGCAAAUUCCAGUCUUUUUCAAGCCUUCGAUAACCAUAGUGUUCGCGCCUACCAUUUUCUCAAUGGUAGGCGCACCUGGAGUUGAUGAGUAAGGAGAGGAUAGCCACGAUGUCAGAGUUCAUGUUGGGUUUUUUGGAGGGUGGAGGUUUGCACAGAGUAACCGGUAAAGAGGGGAAUUUGUCAUCUUCAGCAGCAUUCUAAAGCAUGAUAUUAUCCAUAGGCCAAGCGUAGUUGUGGCAGUUGUCUAUAAGCACGUUUCUCUCGUUGAUUAGCAAUAGAACGGCUAACUUCUUCCUUUUUUGUCACGACUUUGCCUGGACAUGCCGAAAUAAAUUAUCAUUCCAGUCACAGGAAAGGUCUUAUAUCUUGAACAAAUAAAAAUAGUAAUGACUGUAAACUUGUUUUUUUUCACAAUCUUUCUGAAGUUUGGUACGGUGCUCGGUAAAAACAGCGUCUGUUCAAGCCGCCAUAUUGGCACCUCAAUCCCUCAGAGUUUAUGUGCGUCGCAAUGCCCGUGACGUAAUAGACUAUGUUUCUAAAUUUUCUGAUUACAUUUUUAAACUAUUCAAAUUAUUCUUGCGCAAUGUUACAUUAAUUUGAAUGUCGUAAACAUUGUCGGAUUCUAUUAAAUAAUUGAUGUAACAGAUAAAUUCUUAUGUUACAGAAACCGGAAAAGUUGUGAACUACAAAUGUGGCGCCAUUUUGUAGUUUUUUACUAACCCUAACCAGUUUGUUUUUUAUCAAUAUCUUCGACCAAUAUCAUUCUAAUUGAUGUGUAGAAUGAUCUGUACAUUCAUUAGGACAUACAUAAAGCGGUACUGCAUCAACACAUGCCAAUUCAAUGUCUGAAGUAGUGCACUUUCUGAAAUGUGUUUUUCGUCAUAACUAUUUAAGUUUGACAUGUGCGAUUCUUUUGAUUUAAUAAGGACCCCUUACUAAACCUUCAUGUCAAAUAACGUUCAGAUAUGUUUAUCGAUUGUUGAUUUUUUAAAAAUCAUAAAAGUUUUGGGAAAAGUCAACUGUUGGUGGUGCUACUGAGCACUCGAUGGCCACCAGGGGUAUGGGAUUGCAUAAUUAUGUUUAAUUCAUGCAUAGGAUUAUUUGUGCCAAGCCAUAAAUCUAAGCUAACAAAAAAAUAUAUAAUUAUUUUGGGUGGGGGGGGGACUCUAUGAUGAGAGUUGAACUCUUCCAAAGGUUUCCGAGGCGUGUAUAAAAGGUUCAUGGCAGAAAAGUGUAUGUAUAGAAAUACUUAUAUAAACAUUGUUACAUCGAUAUUGACGCUUCUAGAAGUUCAAAAAUAGACAUUCAACAGUCUAUAUGUGGCCUUUCAACCCCGAUACCCAUGACCCACAUGGCCACUCCUCUAUUGCCAUGGUCCUCGGCACAUCAUGUUCCUGUUAAGCAACAAUGAUGAAAAUUAACUCACUGCCUAUUCAAAAAAAGGAGCUGUGAAAUUAUUUGCCUUUCACCUUCAUUAAAUAUUUUCCAUGGACAACUAGCCUAGAGACCGAGCAGAUAGACGGUCUGCCUUUAUGCGCUAAACAUGUUGCAUGCCAAUAUCACUCAGGGGUAGGCUUAUAUCCAACAUAUUUAAUGCAGGUAAAGUAAUAUAUGUAAUAGAUUAUAUAUACAGUAUACAUAAUGCUAUGUUGAUUUACACGUAGGCCUAUAUAUUAUAAUAUAUAGCCUAGCCUAUGGGCCUAUAAUAAACUUGGAUAUGAAUUGCGAAGUUCAUCGUCAGUUGGCCAAAAUGCUGUCCCAAAAUGCAACAUUCUCAACACAAAUCUAAUCAUGCAUCUUGUAUGCAACAAGGCACUGGAGUUAGUACUGAAAAAAAGUCAACAAACAGAUCACUGACCAUCUCGAAUCCCACCGUACCUUCUCCGCUGUGCAAUCUGGUUUCCGAGCCGGUCACGAGUGCACCUCAGCCACGCUCAAGGUACUAAACAAUAUCAUAACCGCCAUCGAUAAAAGACAGUACUGUGCAGCCGUCUUCAUCGACCUUGCCAAGGCUUUCGACUCUGUCAAUCACCAUAUUCUUAUCGGCAGACUCAGUAGCCUCGGUUUUUCUGAUGACUGCCUUGCCUGGUUCACCAACUACUUUGCAGACAGAGUUCAGUGUGUCAAAUCGGAGGGCAUGCUGUCCGGUCCUCUGGCAGUCUCUAUGGGGGUGCCACAGGGUUCAAUUCUCGGGCCGACUCUUUUCUCUGUAUAUAUCAAUGAUGUUGCUCUUGCUGCGGGCGAUUCCCUGAUCCACCUCUACGCAGACGACACCAUUCUGUAUACUUCCGGCCCGUCCUUGUACACUGUGCUAUCUAACCUCCAAACGAGCUUCAAUGCCAUACAACACUCCUUCCGUGGCCUCCAACUGCUCUUAAAUGCUAGUAAAACCAAAUGCAUGCUUUUCAACCGUUCGCUGCCUGCACCCGCACGCCCGACUAGCAUCACCACCCUGGAUGGUUCCGACCUUGAAUAUGUGGACAUCUAUAAGCACCUAGGUGUCUGGCUAGACUGUAAACUCUCCUUCCAGACUCAUAUCAAACAUCUCCAAUCGAAAAUCAAAUCUAGAGUCGGCUUUCUAUUCCGCAACAAAGCCUCCUUCACUCACGCCGCCAAACUUACCCUAGUAAAACUGACUAUCCUACCGAUCCUUGACUUCGGCGAUGUCAUCUACAAAAUAGCUUCCAACACUCUACUCAGCAAACUGGAUGCAGUUUAUCAUCCGUUUUGUCACUAAAGCACCUUAUACCACCCACCAUUGCGACAUGUAUGCUCUAGUCGGCUGGCCCUCGCUACAUAUUCGUCGCCAGACCCACUGGCUCCAGGUCAUCUACAAGUCCAUGCUAGGUAAAGCUCCGCCUUAUCUCAGUUCACUGGUCACGAUGGCAACACCCACCCGUAGCACGCACUCCAGCAGGUGUAUCUCACUGAUCAUCCCUAAAGCCAACACCUCAUUUGGCCGCCUUUCGUUCCAGUUCUCUGCUGCCUGUGACUGGAACAAAUUGCAAAAAUCGCUGAAGUUGGAGACUUAUCUCCCUCACCAACUUCAAAUAUCUGCUAUCUGAGCAGCUAACCGAUCGCUGCAGCUGUACAUAGUCUAUCGGUAAAUAGCCCACCCAAUUUGACCUCUACCUCAUCCCCAUACUGUUUUUAUUUAUUUACUUUUCUGCUCACCAAUAUCUCUACCUGUACAUGACCAUCUGCUCAUUUAUCACUCCAGUGUUAAUCUGCAGAAUUGUAAUUAUUCGCCUACCUCCUCAUGCCUUUUGCACACAAUGUAUAUAGACUUUUUUUCUACUGUGUUAUUGACUUGUUAAUUGUUUACUCCAUGUGUAACUCUGUUGUCUGUUCACACUGCUAUGCUUUAUCUUGGCCAGGUUGCAGUUGCAAAUGAG
ensembl:lncRNA